ACUCAACCUUUUAGAGUUUCCAGCCCUACCUAAACACAGUGUGCACUGUACCUUUCAUGCCUCCAGCUAGCCACCUGAAUGACCUCGAACAGAAAACGCCCCACCAUCUAAACCACUGGACACCUGAAGAUGACCAUCUUGAACCAAGGAAUGUAUUAUUCCAAGACAAAAAAAUGGAUUCUAGGUUCCAACUUUCUCAUCAAAACUCUUCAUCAACAAACAAGCUCCGCUGCCUGCUGUGUACACAGAACAUACCUGGGGCAGCGAGCAUCCAGCGUCGGUUAUGCCUGCUGUGCUUACUGCACAGUAUUUAAGUCUCCGUGAAAAUGUCACCCCCAACCCUAGAGUACCGCCUUCUCUCUCACAGCCAGUAAGUCUCAUACCACCAACAGCAAUCAACAGAGAAAACGGCACUCGUGGUUACACGUGAAAUAACUAUUUUAUCCCAUUCCUUAUCACAAGUUGUAAGAGUGUUUUACAGUAAAACAUCUAAUAAAAUUGCAUUUUCUAUCUAAAAUGUCAAAAAGCUACAUGUCCUUUGACUCAGCAGUUCCGCUUCUAAGACUGCAUCCUAAGGAAACACUCACAUGAGGAAGUACGUGCAAGGAUGUGUCUGUAGCACGGAAAGACCGGAGCACCAAAGACAACCCAGAAACCAGGAGGGGGCUGCUAAACUGUGGGUAUUCAUAGGCUGGAAUGCCAUGCAGCUAUUAUAAAUAAGGCAGACCUACAGAUAUUAAUAAGACAUAGUAUCCAAGAUAUGUUGUCAAGUAAAAAACCCAAUUUAUAAAACAGUAUGCUAACAUUUAUGUAGAAAAAAACAAAAAUAUACACAAGUACGCAUUAUCUCCGAAGGACGAUGAAUUAGUAGAGAGCACAAAUGAGGUCAGUAAAAUGAAGACCUCUCACUGAAUAUACCCCACAAACCAUGUUGUUCUUUAAAAAAUUGUUUUUACUAUGUGCAUUUUUUUAAUAUAAAGAGACGAUAUGGAUUGCCUUCUUUUUUAUCCAAUUACUCUCAAUAUUAUUUUGUACUGAUUUCAAGUGUACAGCAUAGUGGUUAGACAAUCAUAUACUUCACAAAGUGGCCCGGUACUUCCAAUAUCCACCUGGCACUGUACACAGGUAUUGCAAUAAUAUUGGAAAAUUAUUGACCAUAUUCCCUACGCUGUACUUUAUAUCCUUGACUGUUUUGUAACUACCGAUUUUUAUUUCUUUACUCUCUCACCUCUCCCACCCAGCCCCAGCCCCCCUCCCCUCUGACAGCUGUCUCUGUUCUCAGUGUCUGUGAGUUUGCUUCAGUUUUGUUGAUUUUGUUCUUUAGAUUCCACAUAUAAGUGAAAUCAUAUGGUAUUUGUCUUUCUCUGACUUAUUUCACUGAGCAAAACACCCUCUAGGUCCACCCAUGCUGCCGCAAAUGGUUGGAUUUGCCUCUUUUAAGUUUUUUUACAGGUAGAAGUAACAAAUUAUUAUUACUUUUGUAAAAGAUUUUAUUUAUUUAUCUUUAGAGGGGAAGGGAAGGAGAGAACUAUCAAUGUAUGGUUGCCUCUCGUGGGUCCCCUGCUGGGAACUGGCCUGCAACCCAGGCAUGUGUCCCGACUGGGAGUCGAACCGUGAUCAUGUGGUUCACAGGCCCGCACUCAAUCCACUGAGCUACACCAGCCAGGACACAAAUUAUUUUUAAUUAGCAAAAAACAUGUAUAAAACACUUUGAACUUGUAUAAAUGAAUGAGUAACAGAAAACCAUAAAACCAUAAUUUCAAGAGUUUCUCUAAUAAUGUAGUCCUAAGAGAAACACGUUGUAAGGAAAAAAUUAAUAAACUAAAGAAUUCUAGGAAAACAAAGACUAAACAUUUAAAAACUGAGAGUUCUGACCUGGCUGGUGUGGCUCAGUGGAUUGAGUGCCGGCCUGCAAACCAAAGGGUUGUGGGUUCAAUUCCCAGUCAGGGAAUGGGGGUUGCGGGCUAGGCCCCCAGUGAGAGGCGUGUGAGAGGCGACCACACACUGUUACUUCGCUCUCUUCUCUGUCUCCCUCCCUUCCCCUCGGUGUAAAAAUAAAUAAAUAAAAUCUUUUUAAAAAAACUGAGAGCCCCCCAGCACCCUGAUUGCACACGCCUUCCCUGAGACGUGAAGAGUUCAGUACACACCCUCACCUCAGCAGCGAGAUUCAAACGGCCCAGCCCGACCCCCACUCUCUCCAGUCUGAGACUUGAAUGGAAUAAUCGUCUGUUUGCUCCCAAGGAGGGUAAAGAGGAAAACUGUGGCUUUAGAAUCAUACUUGCUAAGUUAAGUGACUUCAAAUACCUCACUUAACUUCUCUGGGUCCUGAAUUCCCCCUUUCUUCAAAUUCCUACCUUAUUUUCAUUCUCGUGUGUCAUGAUCUCCGGGGGCAGGUCUGCACUGCCAGUGCUGAAUCUGGGUCCACUCAAGUACUUGGUCCCGAUGCUCUCACCCACCCACUGCUCUCUGGGCUCACUUGUGAACAAAACCAUCCACUGCUCUCUGGAUUCGCUUUUUAACAAACACCAGGGACUCUCGCUGAUGAAGCUUCUGUAUUGGACAAUCGGAGACCUGCAGCCUUCCCCUGGCAAGCAUAUACUGCCCUAAGCUUAACUUACUACCACUCUGCCUUAGUGCCCAAAUAGCCAUCCUGUCAAGUUAUGAUUUGGGAGUUUCAUCUGAAUGCAAAGAACUAGAAGCUAAACCCUCAGGAAAGCAUUUCCUGACUCACUCUUAAUUUGGGCUAAAUGGACUUCCUCCAUGUUCUCCCAAGGCUCCAGUGGCUUACCACUCUGACACUGUAAUCUCCAAAUCAUUUAUUCCCCGAUACUAUUGACAGCAAGGCACUUGAAACUAUUUCACUGGUUUUAGAGCUGUAUUCAAUGUUGCAAAGGUGUCCCUAAAAUAGUAAGGUUUACAGAGGAAUGUCUUUACAGUUCUCUAGUUCUUUCCUUCUUUUUUCCUCCCUUUCUCUAUGUAAACAGUCAAAGAUGGUGUUACAUAGGACAGUGAUUUUCAACUGCUGUGCCACAGGAAUUUUAAAAACAUCCAAUAUCUGAGUAUUUAGUCAGGGGCACUGGCCUCUUUUACCUUAGAUUGUCAAAGAAAAUAAUGACAACAGCCAACACAAUAGCCAUUUGGUGUGAAUGAACCAAAAUUAUACCUAUUCUUUUUGUCAGAUUGGCAAACAGUGUAUUUUUUGGUGUGCCACAGUAUUUUAGGAAUUAGUUUAUGUGGCCAUGAGAGGAACAAGGUUGAAAAUUGCUGAUGUAGGAAAAGAACUUUGCAGAAGCGAACAGAAAGGUGUCUGCACGCAGACACAGAAAGGUGAUUAAAUAAAUGUCAACAGGAAUGUUUGAAGUUCACUCUCUCUUGACGCCUCCCUCAGACAAUGCUCAGGGCCAGCCACCUGGCAAGGUAGAAACUGCCAGAAGCGCAGAUCGAGGUGUCCAAAAGUGACACCGAGUGCUUUAGAGAGUUACAAGGAGUUACAUUUUAACAUUCACACUGUGUCCUCAAGAAAAUGUAAAGAUUUUCAGAUACUUCUAAAAUUCCCCUCUUCAUAAAGGUCUACUUUACGGUGAUGGCACUUGCCAUCCUAGAAAACCAGGACCGUCAAUCUAACACCUGUGCUGCACGAGGUGCUCUUCAGGAAGGCAGGCUUCCACCCCUCGGUGACUGGGAGUCGACAAAACUGAAAUAACAGUGGUUCACACAGAGCUCGCUGGGCUCUGAACCCUCUGUGUUUUAAUAAGGAAGAUUACUAGCCACUUUUUAAAAGAUGACAGAUUGGCCCUCGCCGCAUGGUUCAGCUGGUUGGGGCGUGAUCCCAUACACCAAAAAAGGGUGCAGGUUCAAUCCCUGGUCAGGGCAUGCUCAGGAGGCAACUAAUCAGUUUUCUCUCUUUCUCUCUCAAAUAAAUAUAUCCUCAGGUGAAGAUUUUUUAAAAAGAUUAUUCCUGUUUUUCCA